CGUUUAACUAUUAAAAGUUUCGUUUUGGUCCCUUAACUUAUUUUUUGGUUUCGUUUUGGUCCCUUAACUCUUCCUUCGUCAACCACUUUGGUCCUUUAUGUUAGGAUGAAUGUAUUAGAGUUAAGGACCAAAACGAAAUCGAAAAAUAAGUUAAGUGACCAAAACGAAAUCAAAAAAUAAGUUAAGAGACCAAAGCGAAACUUUUAAUAGUUAAGGGACCAAAACAAAACCAAAAAAUAAGUUAAGGGACCAAAACGAAACUUUUAAUAGUUAAGGGA
rnacentral:pre_miRNA from 1 species